rnacentral:rRNA from 1 species
GACGAACGCUGGCGGCGCGCCUAACACAUGCAAGUCGAACGAGAGAGAAGGAGCUUGCUUCUUCGAUCGAGUGGCGAACGGGUGAGUAACGCGUGAGGAACCUGCCUCAAAGAGGGGGACAACAGUUGGAAACGACUGCUAAUACCGCAUAAGCCCACGGAUCGGCAUCGACCUGAGGGAAAAGGAGCAAUCCGCUUUGAGAUGGCCUCGCGUCCGAUUAGCUAGUUGGUGAGGUAACGGCCCACCAAGGCGACGAUCGGUAGCCGGACUGAGAGGUUGAACGGCCACAUUGGGACUGAGACACGGCCCAGACUCCUACGGGAGGCAGCAGUGGGGAAUAUUGCACAAUGGGGGAAACCCUGAUGCAGCGACGCCGCGUGGAGGAAGAAGGUCUUCGGAUUGUAAACUCCUGUUGUUGAGGAAGAUAAUGACGGUACUCAACAAGGAAGUGA